rnacentral:rRNA from 1 species
GACGAACGCUGGCGGCGUGCUUAACACAUGCAAGUCGAACGGGUGUAGCAAUACAUCAGUGGCAGACGGGUGAGUAACACGUGGGAACCUUCCUAGGGGUACGGAACAACUCAGGGAAACUUGAGCUAAUACCGUACACGUCCGUAAGGAGAAAGAUUCAUCGCCCCUAGACGGGCCCGCGUCGGAUUAGGUAGUUGGUGGGGUAACGGCCUACCAAGCCUACGAUCCGUAGCUGAUCUGAGAGGAUGAUCAGCCACACUGGGACUGAGACACGGCCCAGACUCCUACGGGAGGCAGCAGUAGGGAAUCUUGCACAAUGGACGAAAGUCUGAUGCAGCGACGCCGCGUGU